GACGACCGCUGGCGGCGAGCCUAACACAUGCCAGUUGAACGGAAAGUCCCUGAUUUUGUGCGUUGCUCGAGUGGCGCACGUGUGUGUCACACGCGAGUCACCUGCCCUUGACUUUGGGAUCCCUUCAGCAACCUCGGGCUCCUCCCAGAUAGGAGCUCCUGCUGCAUGGUGGGGGUUGGACAGUUUCGGCGGUUGGGGAUGGACUCGCGGCUUAUCAGCUUGUUGGUGGGGUCGUGGCUUCCCAAGGCUUUGACGGGUAGCCGGCCUGAGAGGGUGACCGGCCACAUUGGGAGUGGGAUACGGCCCAGACUCCUACGGGGGGCAGGAGUGGGGAAUAUUGCUCAGUGUGCGGGAUCCAGAUGCAGAAUCGCGGCGUGGGGGAUGACGGCCGUCGGGUGGGAAACCGCUUUCGCCUGUGACGAAGCGUGAGUGACGGGAAUGGGUAAAGGAGCACCGGCUAACUACGU
rnacentral:rRNA from 1 species